AUGUUGGCCUUGAGCGCCGUGCAGAGGCACACCGCCGCCUCCAGGUCGGCGAGCCCCUGGAUUAGCGAGCAGCACGGCUGCUUCGGCGGCGUCCCCAGCUGCAGGUUGAUCAGCCCGUUGAGCACGUUGGCGCACACCCCCAGCUUCAGCGUGUCGAUGGGGCACCGCGCGCGCCCGCCUGAUCCGCCUCCUCCCGAUCCGCCACCGCCGGACCCGCCGCCGAAAAAUUCACGGAACGAGUAUGAUUUUUGGGACAAGUUAGGGCAGCUCUAG
rnacentral:rRNA from 1 species